rnacentral:tRNA from 1 species
UCCCCGGUGGCUCAGUGGUAAAGAGUCUGCCUGCCAGUGCAGGAGUCACGGGUUCGAUCCCUGAUCUGGGAA